UACGUAGGGGGCAAGCGUUAUCCGGAUUUACUGGGUGUAAAGGGAGCGUAGACGGCAGCGCAAGUCUGGAGUGAAAGCCCGGGGCCCAACCCCGGGACUGCUCUGGAAACUGCGUCGCUGGAGUACGGGAGGGGCAGGCGGAAUUCCUGGUGUAGCGGUGAAAUGCGUAGAUAUCACGCAGAACUCCGAUCGCGAAGGCAGCCUACCGGCGCGCAACUGACGCUCAUGCACGAAAGCGUGGGUAUCGAACAGG
rnacentral:rRNA from 1 species